UUCCUUAUAGGUUUCUUUGAAAAUAUUAGCCUGAGGAGCUCAGCCAAGAGUGGAAUUCUGCUCAGUAAACCCAGAGAACACCACUAACAUCAGUUGCACAGGAUGGGAAGGAUGAAGGCCAAUGGACCCCAAAGGAAACCAUCCUACUCUUGGCUGUCUCUCAGCAGUCAGGGAUGAAUUUAGAGUGACAUCUUCCAGGACAAGAAAAGUGCAGAGGGAGCUUCUGCAAAGUUACUGCAAUUGUGCAUGCCUCCAGUAGCUUAUGUGCCCAGAGCUGGAGUGACAUCUCAGAAACCCUUCCAGAGCAGAAGACUAUUUCCAGUCUCAUCAUUUUACACUGCCUGUGCCGAAAGGAAAGAAACCUUGGCAAACACAAUGACUCCACAGGUCGGUCACCCAGGUCCAGCACCAUCUUUUCAUCCCAUCCAGCUUUCCAUCCGGGAAAAAAAAAAAAAAAAAAUCUUUCUUCAGAAAUUGUAUUCCUCUGUACCUCAUGCCUUCGAAUACAUCAUCUCCAACAACUGUGAUAGGAAAGUUCAGUGUGAAGGCUGCAGAACUUAGCAAUAGGCUUGUGUGAAGUGCAAGCCACACAUUCAUUGCUGGCCUGUGUUUCAUCACUGAUUUAUGCAGAGAUGUACGUAAACUACACUUACUACUGAGGAACUUCUCCAAUUGUAAUUGGAAUCAGCAAGAUGCCUUGAAGGAUUGGGUAUGGGCAAGUCUUCUGAGAAGGUGUUUUUGCUAAAGAAAAAAAUUAACAUGGCAAACUGGCAUCCAAGUAAAAUAUGAAC
rnacentral:lncRNA from 1 species